AACGAACGCUGGCGGCGUGUUUAAGACAUGCAAGUCGCACGGUGUCAUUUUGGUAGCAAUACUUGGAUGGCACAGUGGCGCACGGGUGAGUAACACGUGAAUGACAUGCCCUUCAGAGGGGGAUAGCCCAGGGAAACUUGGAUUAAUACCCCAUGGUCUCGCGAGAGUAAAGGUGGCCGCAAGGCUGUCGCUGGCGGAUUGGUUCGCGUUCUAUCAGCUUGUUGGCGGGGUAACGGCCCACCAAGGCUACGACGGAUACCUGGUCUGAGAGGACGAUCAGGCACACUGGAACUGAGACACGGUCCAGACACCUACGGGUGGCAGCAGUCGAGAAUAAUUCACAAUGGGGGCAACCCUGAUGGUGCAACGCCGCGUGGAGGAUGAAGGUCUUCGGAUUGUAAACUCCUGUCAUCCGGGAGCAAGACCUGGCCGUGAAUAGCGGACAGGGUUGAUAGUACCGGAAGAGGAAGGGACGGCUAACUUCGUGCCAGCAGCCGCGGUAAUAC
rnacentral:rRNA from 1 species